AAUUUUUGUAAUACUGACCCUAGAAAACCUAUGUGCUUAACCUCAACGUUUCGUUAAGCAGCUGCAGCCAUUUGAAUAUCCUGAGGCGGAAGAUACCAGUGCAGCAAUCAAAAGCAACAGUCACCUGGCCCUCCAGGUUCGGGUGGAAAAGAAGAAGCAUGUGACUUUGAAGCUUGUCCUCUGUCCGUGUCCUCUGACCUGGCUGCCUGCUAAUGCUGUUCAGUUGGAACAGAAGACCAAAUACGUUCAGCGGGUGAUGAUGGGGCAUCUUGAGGGGUCUAAUAAUUCAGAAGAUCCCCAUUAUCAGCUGGCUUCAUAAUAAGUCUACUACAUAAGUUAGCUCAGCAGAAAGG